UGCCAGCAGCCGCGGUAACACGGGGGGCGCAAGCGUUAUUCGGAAUUAUUGGGCGUAAAGCGGGUGUAGGUGGCUUGGAAAGUCGGAUGUGAAAUCCCAGGGCUCAACCCUGGAACUGCAUUCGAAACUUCCUAGCUAGAGUCCCGGAGAGGAAGGCAGAAUUCCCGGUGUAGAGGUGAAAUUCGUAGAUAUCGGGUGGAAUACCAGUGGCGAAGGCGGCCUUCUGGACGGUGACUGACACUCAGACCCGAAAGCGUGGGUAGCGAACAGGAUUAGAUA
rnacentral:rRNA from 1 species